UGUACCAAAUCGCAAGGGGAAAAAGAAAUUGAAGCUGCUGCUCCAAAUCUGAGUACCCUGCCCGUCCAUGGGGAGAUGCUCUACCAAUUCGCAAGUGUAGCUAUUGUAGCAGUUUGAUUUGCUUGCCCAUCCAUGGCCAAAUCUUGGAGGAGGUGAUCUUUGUGGCCAUUUUUUGCCGAGGCCAGGACAUGCGCUGUGGAUCUGGCGUCUCCCACCAGCGAUGCGGCAUCUCACUUUUGCCUAUGUAGUUCAUUGCCGCUGAGACAUAUGGCUGUGUCGUUGGGUUCAGGGCCCAUCUUCUGUGUAUCGUUCCUGUCGUCUUAGGGUGCGGACAUGCUGACAGGUACUGGCGCAGUUUGCCGUUGAGCAGGGUGCACGGAUGCGUUUGUCGCAUUCUCGAUGGUCUGGAUCCUUGACAACCUUGUUGAGUCCGGCAGUGUGUUCUCAAGUUUUGGCCAAGCUGAUGACCUCUUCUUGGCUUACGGCUAGAGGUCUAUGGCAGAGGUGUUGUAGUUUGGCCCAGUGGAGGAGGCUGCGAGGGAAAUCACCGAGUCAACUGCUGAGUGAGUUAUUAGAUCUGACAUCUAAAGAAUACAAAUAGCGGCUAACGACCAUGAGAUGCUGGCCUCCUCGUUGUUCUUGUUGUCAAGCCAAUACUAACUCAUUGUUCUUGCGGUCAGGCUACUACUAACUGUUUGUUGAGUAGCUCACUUGUGCCAGCAAGACACCAUUGAUUUGCUUAUAUCCAGUCGUGCUAUUAAGUUACUGAUGAAGCAAGGCAUAUUCGUCUCAGUGCAUUCAUCCUCUGACUCAUCUGAUAUUACAACAGAUCUCAGUCUCCUUUUAGUGCCACUGUGGAGCUCACGUGAUGACGAUGGUCUUAUCACGUAUCACGGAGAUUGAUGAUAUCAUUUAUUGGAAUUUUGAUGCGUUACCUGGUCUGGCUGGUUUCCAUGCCUCAUUGCAGCUAGAUUUGCUUUGGCGUCAAUUCUUUCGACUUAGAUUGGAGCAGGCGUCGCUUCGUCGGGCGUCGAGCGUGCUUUCGCGUGACUAUGUCGGGCGUCGAGUGAAGCGGCUGGAGGUGGCUUUUUCGUCUGGACGUUGAGUCGCGUGUGAUGUGUUUAAGUCGUCGUAGUCGUUGGCUUCUAAUUGUUUGGUGGGUACUUGUGCAUCCGUGUGUACUUAUUUAUAUACUUUUAGGUGUCUUGGAUUAUGGUGGCUGAGACCGGCUACAAAUCAUAUGCCAACACCGUGUGCAAAUCAGACUUAUGCACCGUGUGCAAAUCAGACUUGUUUUAUUUGCAUGUAUUUGUUCCUGAUCUGGAACUUUCCUCACGUGAGGUGGU